rnacentral:rRNA from 1 species
CUUACACAUGCAAGUCGAACGGCAGCACGGACUUCGGUCUGGUGGCGAGUGGCGAACGGGUGAGUAAUGUAUCGGAACGUGCCCAGUAGCGGGGGAUAACUACGCGAAAGCGUAGCUAAUACCGCAUACGCCCUACGGGGGAAAGCAGGGGAUCGCAAGACCUUGCACUAUUGGAGCGGCCGAUAUCGGAUUAGCUAGUUGGUGGGGUAACGGCUCACCAAGGCGACGAUCCGUAGCUGGUUUGAGAGGACGACCAGCCACACUGGGACUGAGACACGGCCCAGACUCCUACGGGAGGCAGCAGUGGGGAAUUUUGGACAAUGGGCGAAAGCCUGAU